AUGGAUUAUAUUUUGGUUAAGUAAUUUGAUACCUUUAAAACGAAGAUGGUACCCUGAAUGAAGUAUUUAACGAGGUUGAAAGGAAAAUAUUCAACUCAACUCCAUGGUCCCUUGACUCCUUAUUUUUAACAUUUAAAGGAGCUUUGGUGCCUUUAAAAAACCGACCAGAAAGGUAUGUUUUUCCCCCCUCCCUUUUAAACAUUUGAAAAAGAGAAGUAAUCUCAUUACCUUUUUCUGCUAAAUGGUCUAAAGAUGUAAUUAACAAAGGCAUCCAUUGAAAGGUAACAACUUUAAAAAGUUGGUUUGAACAUGAACGUUAAAUAAAAUAACCCAAAAGGCCGGCUAGGCAUUGGACAACUCUUAUCCCUUUUUACCCAAAGACCUAAUGAAAGCAUGGCAAUGAGAGGAAUUUGACUUGACCAAUGCAAAGCAACAAGACUAUGACAAUAUGAUGCAUUCUCGACAAUUACUUCAUGUAGAGGAAUAUAUUUACCAAUGCUGGCUGGGUCUUUGGUAAAAACAAAACAACCAACAUCAAUUCUCUCCUUCUUACACUCAAAAGUUAUUUAUUUUGCUAUAUAAAUUAUUUGGAUUGCAAUGUAAUAUAUAUUUUAUUCUCAGCCCUUCUAAUUCGAAUGUGAUUGAAGCAUUUGUCAUGUGAGAAGCUCUGUCGUGAUUGUCAAAGUCGGAUUACAAGGAACUAGUUAAUGAUUUACUCUGGGAUAAGGUUUUUAGUUUAAUUUUACAUGAUUAUUCUCAAUUGAAAUCAUAAUGGGAUGCUAAUAAGGUCUUCUUAUUUCAUGCAAACUAUCACAUAUUUGAUAUUCCCCUUGCUAGUUUAUCUACAAAUAUUUCUUCUUUAAC
rnacentral:lncRNA from 1 species